rnacentral:sRNA from 1 species
GUGAUGGGGUUAAUUCCCUUUCGUAAGACUCUUACUUGCACCCACCCAGCCCCGCCGUCGCCCCGCCGCGCCGCGCUCCAACCGCCUCCUCCUCCUCAGUAACGCGGGAGAAAAUUCAGAUCCAGUUAACACAAUCAUUUGAGAAAGAAGAGAAGCCCUCAAAAGAUGAAGCAGAAAAAGAAAAGGCCAGUGAUAAGUUGCCCAGAAAAAUGUUAUCAAGAGAUUCCAGUCAAGAAUACACUGAUUCAACUGGCAUAGAUCUACAUGAAUUUUUAGUAAAUACAUUAAAAAACAAUCCCAGGGACAGAAUGAUGCUGCUGAAAUUGGAACAAGAAAUUUUAGAUUUCAUUGGUAAUAAUGAGUCUCCACGUAAAAAAUUCCCCCCAAUGACAUCUUACCAUAGGAUGCUAUUACACAGAGUAGCCGCUUACUUUGGAUUAGACCACAAUGUUGAUCAGAGUGGGAAGUCUGUCAUAGUAAACAAAACUAGCAAUACAAGAAU